rnacentral:rRNA from 1 species
GACGAACCGUGCGAACGUUGUUCGGAUUCACUGGGCUUAAAGGGCGCGUAGGCGGGCGACCAAGUCGGGGGUGAAAUCUUUCGGCCCAACCGGAAAAGGGCCUCCGAUACUGGCCGCCUCGAGGGGGGUAGGGGCGCGUGGAACUUCCGGUGGAGCGGUGAAAUGCGUAGAUAUCGGAAGGAACGCCGGUGGCGAAAGCGACGCGCUGGACCCCUGCUGACGCUGAGGCGCGAAAGCCAGGGGAGCAAACGGG